GAGCACGUAGGUGGGUUUGUAAGUCAGAUGUGGAAGCCUUCUGUUCAAAGGAAGAACGGCAUCUGAAACUGCAGAUCUUGAGUGUAGGAGGGGAGAGUGGAACUUCUGGUGGAGCGGUGAAAUGCGUAGAUAUCAGAAGGAACGUCGGCGGCGAAAGCGACUCUCUGGCCUAUUACUGACACUGAGUGUGCGAAAGUUAGGGGAGCAAACGGGAUUAGAUACCCCGGUAGUCCUAACUGUAAACGAUGGGCACUAAGUAGAGGGGUUUU
rnacentral:rRNA from 1 species